UUUUUUUUUUCCCCGUUAACUUCGUGUUAACGGGGAAAAAAAAAUUCGUGAGCGUAGCGCUCCCUAGGCCUUCUUCCCGUUUUGCCCACUUAUGGUACGGUCUCGGUGCACUAAUGCGGAACCUUGACCUGGCUGCAGUGGCGGGACGUGAAGGACAAAAUGGCCGUCGCCCUGGCGCGCGGUGUGGGCAGCCGUCUCUGUGAUGAGGACCUCACAGACCUGUGCCUACCUCUAUGAGGACGACUCUCUCUGAGCAGACGGCCAAUGCUCCAUACAACUGUUGCGCGGGAAAUGCUCUGUGUUUAAUCUCGUCUCUCCGCAGGGCUGGGCGCGCGUCUGAGUACGGGAGCCCGAGACCGCCGCCCUCGGAUGCGUUUCAUUUCAGAAGCGCUCACUGCUUAGAGAAUGAGAGGAGACUCAUUCUUCUGCGCAAGAAGUGGCCCACCUCGCACGGUGCUGCAGAGUCUCAUAACCAGUCCUGAGGAAUUCACUUACUGCCCAGGAUGAACACAGGUCCUGAUAACUUUUUCAUCUAAAGAUGCCAGCUAGUGUCAAGACUCCCUAGCUCAGAGGCUCCAGCUCAGUGGAAUAAGAAUGGCCCCUCAGUUCAAUCCCCAGUUCCAUUAAAAAAAAAAAACUUCUGGGAAGAAUUGAAAACGCUGAGCACCUGCAACCAGCCCCCCAGCCCUAGACCCAGGAAUGGAGCAGCUAGCUUCUCUGUAUACAACUGGAAAUGUUCUGCAUUAAGGUGCUAUUUAUUCCCAGCAAACCACAUGAUUCACAGGUCCGGCAUCUUUGGAGGUGAGAAAUCAUUUCAGUGUCUCCCUGUGCCAUUCAGGCUGGCCUUGGACUCCUGCCUCAGUCUGUGUGGGGGUUACAGGCAUGUGCCCACAUGCAACAGCAAAACAUGUUUCUUAUCAGCCCAAGAAACAGCAAGAGGUGAGUGUAUGUGCAUGUAAGGUAAAUUAUUGAACUAAAAUUUCCCAGUGAUGAAAUUCUCAGAAGUCUUACUUCCUGUCCUAGCCUCAGAGCCUGUAAAGGUGAACCCACUGGGGCUGGCUGGAGGAAAAGAGGAGGAUUUGUUCUGUAAGGAACUGUCUGAGGGAUCAUUGAAUUUUCCUUAUGUGAGAAGGAAAAUACUUGGUUGCAGAAACAUCGCUGUUUUCUGUCUUUCACAGGUCUCAGGAAGGAGCCAGCAUACACAGAUGGUAAGCGUUCAGACGGUGUAGAGUGUUUUCAUACUGUAGCUGGUGGAUCCGGCACUGCCUAGAAGUAGGUGUUUUGUUGACUGAGGUGUGUACCCUGUUUUGAA